rnacentral:tRNA from 2 species
GCGGGAUUAGUUUAGUGGCAGAAUGACACACUUCCAAUGUGUAGACGGGAGUUCGAUUCUCCCAUCCCGCACCA